AGCAGCCGCGGUAAUUCCAGCUCCAAUAGCGUAUAUUAAAGUUGUUGCAGUUAAAAAGCUCGUAGUUGAAUUUCGGGAUUGACACAUCGGUCGUGCCUUAAGGGGUAUGAACUGGUGUAGUCAAUUUCUCACCUUCUGGAGAACCGCGAUGCCCUUAAUUGGGUGUCGCGGGGAACCAGGACCUUUACUUUGAAAAAUUAGAGUGUUUAAAGCAGGCAUUUUGCUUGAAUACAUUAGCAUGGAAUAAUAAAAUAGGACGGCAUGAUUCUAUUUUGUUGGUUUCUAGGAUCACCGUAAUGAUUAAUAGGGAUAGUUGGGGGCAUUAGUAUUCAAUUGUCAGAGGUGAAAUUCUUGGAUUUAUUGAAGACUAACUACUGCGAAAGCAUUUGCCAAGGAUGUUUUCAUUAAUCAAGAACGAAAGUUAGGGGAUCGAAGACGAUCAGAUACCGUCGUAGUCUUAACCAUAAA
rnacentral:ncRNA from 2 species